CUAGGGGUAUACCCCCCCAUUUGGAAAACCUCGGAACCUGGUUUAACCCGGAAAGUUUCCCAAUCCCAUGUUGGGGGGAAAAAUUUUGGGGUUGGAGGGCCCCGGCCCUUUAAGUUUGGGGGGGGGAAGGCCCUCCAAGGGGGAGGGGGGUACCCGCCUUAAAGGGUUCCCGCCCCCCUGGGAUUGAAUUCGGCCCAAUUUCUUAGGGAGGCAGCAGGGGGAAUUUUGCCCAAUGGGGCCAAGCUGAUGCAGGGACCCCCGUGAGGAUGACGCCUUCGGGUUGUAACCUCUUUCAAUAGGGACGAAGCGUAAGUGACGGUACCUAUAGAAGAAGCACCGGCCAACUACGUGCCAGCAGCCGCGGUAAUACGUAGGGUGCGAGCGUUUUCCGGAAUUACUGGGCGUAAAGAGCUUGUAGGUGGUUUGUCGCGUUGUUCGGGAAAAUCACAGGUUAACUGUGGGCGUGCGGGCGAUACGGGCAGGCUGGAGUACUGCAGGGGAAACUGGAAUUCCUGGUGGAGCGGUGGAAUGCGCAGAUAUCCGGAGGAACCCCGGUGGCGAAGGCGGGUUUUUGGGCCGUAACUGACGGUGAGGAACGAAAGCGUGGGGAACGAACCGGAUUAGAUUCCCUGGUAGUUCAAGCCGUAAACGGUGGGUUCUAGGUGGGGGUUUCCUUCCUUGGGAUUCGUUCCGUAGGUAAAGCCUUAAGUUCCCCGCCUGGGGAGGACGGCCGCAAGGCUAAAAAUUAAAGGAAAUGACGGGGGCCCGCCCCAACGGCGGAACAAGUGGAAUAAUUUGAUGCAACGGGAAGAACCUUACCUGGGUUUGACAAGCCCCAGAAGCCGGCAGAGAAGUUGGUUUCCUUGUGGCCUGGGGGCCGGUGGGGCCUGGCCGUUGUCAGCUUGUGUUGUGAGAAGGUGGGGUAAGUUCCGCAACGAGCGCCACCCUUGUCCUAAGUUGCCAACCGGUUAAGCCGGGGAAUUGUAGGAGACCGCCGGGGUCAACUUGGAGGAAGGGGGGGAAGGCGUCAAGUCCUCCUGCCCCUUAUGUCCCAGGCUUCCCCCCUGCUACCAUGGCCGGGACAAAAGGGUGGGAAGCCGUGAGGUGGAAGGAAUCCUUGUAAAGCCGGUCUCAGUUCGGAUCGGGGUCUGCAACUCGACCCCGUGAAGUCGGAGUCGCUAGUAAUCGCAGAUCAGCAACGCUGCGGUGAAUACGUUCCCGGGCCUUGUACACACCGCCCGUCACGUCAUGAAAGUCGGUAACACCCGAAGCCGGUGGCCUAACCCCUUGUGGGAGGGAGCCGUCGAAUGGUGAUGGCAGGCGCC
rnacentral:rRNA from 1 species